UAGGUACUCCCUCCGUCCCAAAAUAAGUGUCUUAAGUUUGUACUAACUCUAGUACAAAGUUGUACUAAGCUUGAGACACUUAUUUUGGGACGGAGGGAGUAUUAC
rnacentral:pre_miRNA from 1 species